rnacentral:rRNA from 1 species
UACGGGGGGAGCAAGCGUUGUUCGGAAUUACUGGGCGUAAAGCGCACGUAGGUGGCGACGUAAGUCGGGUGUGAAAGCCCCGGGCUCAACCUGGGAAUUGCAUUCGAGACUGCAUUGCUGGAGUACGGAAGAGGAAGGCGGAAUUCCCGGUGUAGCGGUGAAAUGCGUAGAUAUCGGGAGGAACAUCAGUGGCGAAGGCGGCCUUCUGGUCCAGUACUGACACUCAAGUGCGAAAGCGUGGGGAGCAAACAGG